GACGAACGCUGGCGGCGUGCUUAACACAUGCAAGUCGAACGGAAAGGCCCUGCUUUUGUGGGGUGCUCGAGUGGCGAACGGGUGAGUAACACGUGAGUAACCUGCCCUUGACUUUGGGAUAACUUCAGGAAACUGGGGCUAAUACCGGAUAGGAGCUCCUGCUGCAUGGUGGGGGUUGGAAAGUUCCGGCGGUUGGGGAUGGACUCGCGGCUUAUCAGCUUGUUGGUGGGGUAGUGGCUUACCAAGGCUUUGACGGGUAGCCGGCCUGAGAGGGUGACCGGCCACAUUGGGACUGAGAUACGGCCCAGACCCCUACGGGAGGCAGCAGUGGGGAAUAUUGCACAAUGGGCGGAAGCCUGAUGCAGCAACGCCGCGUGCGGGAUGACGGCCUUCGGGUUGUAAACCGCUUUCGCCUGUGACGAAGCGUGAGUGACGGUAAUGGGUAAAGAAGCACCGGCUAACUACGUG
rnacentral:rRNA from 1 species